UGAUAAUGCAACUAGAGGGACAUGAGUGUGACCUCAGGUAACAGAUGGAGGCUAAGGAGAAGGAGUUGAGACAACAAAAUCUCAGUUCAACAAAGUCCCAACAUAGCUCUUCAACUCAUAUGAUAGGUCCUCGACACCUAGCUCUUCAACUUAGAUGAGAGGACUCGAGUACCUCAACAGUGCGAAUUCACACUGUCGGUUCAAUAAAAAUCUGCACCUA
rnacentral:lncRNA from 1 species